rnacentral:rRNA from 1 species
GACCCGUCUUGAAACACGGACCAAGGAGUCCAACAAGUGGGCGAGUAAAUGAGUGGCAAACUCACUUGCGCAGCGAAAGCGACCGUGGGUAGUGUAUGGCAACAACAAUGGGUAUGCGACACCACGGCGGUACCCCCAAGUGGGCGGAUACCGACGAGCUCACUUGCUGGGACCCGAAAGAUGGUGAACUAUGCCUGGGUAGGAUGAAGCCAGAGGAAACUCUGGUGGAGGUCCGUAGCGGUUCUGACGUGCAAAUCGAUCGUCAAACUUGGGCAUAGGGGCGAAAGACUAAUCGAACCAUCUAGUAGCUGGUUCCCUUCGAAGUUUCCCUCAGGAUAGCUGGCGCACAUUAAACGUAGUUUUGUCAGGUAAAGCGAAUGAUUAGAGGCCUUGGGGCUGUAACAGCCUUAGCCUAUUCUCAAACUUUAAAUGGGCAAGAGCCGGCGGUUGCCUAGUGUGAACUGCCGGCGCAAAUAAGUGCGCCUAGUGGGCCAUUUUUGGUAAGCAGAACUGGCGAUGCGGGAUGAACCGAAAGCAGAGUUAAGGUGCCAUAAUCUACGCAAAUGGACACCACAAAAGGUGUUGAUUCAUCUUGACAGCAGGGCGGUGGCCAUGAAAGUCGGCAUCCGCUAAGGAGUGUGU